CUUCAGAGCAAGGGGCUUCACCUCAGAAGGGUGAAUUUUCCCUGGCACAUAUUUUUCUUAUGGAUUGGGGCUUCACCCUGCUAAACUAAGCAGAACCUAACUUAAAAUGAAAAGGGAGAGGGAAAUCAUAUGUGCACUUGUUUAAAACAUUGAGCAACUGAAUCAAUUUAGAGUAGGUUUAAAGGAGGUCAGGGCUCCAGCUUCUAUUCUCAUAUAAGCCUUGAACAGAAAAACCACUCAGCCAUAGGUUGUGCCAGAACCCAUUUUAUGGCCUUUUUUAUUGUUAGAUACAGGGUCUCAUUCUGUUCCCCAAACUGGAGUACAGUUGCAUGAUCAUAGCUCACUGCAGCCUGGAACUCCCAGGCUCAAGCAGUCGUCCUACGUCAGCCUCGCAAGUAGCUACGACUCCUCAGCUUGCAGGUAGCAUGCGCCAUCAUGCCCAGCUAACUUUUUUAUUAAUUUUUUUUUUUUUUUUGGUGGAGACAGCAGUCUUGCUAUGUUGCCCAGGCUGGUCUUAAACUCCUGGCCUCUAUCAGUCCUCCUGCCUAGGCCUCCCAAAGUGCUGGGAUUACAGGUGUGAGCCACCAUGCCCAGCCUGUUCUUAAUUCUUCAUUUGCCUUUCCUCUCCUAAAAAUUGCAGGUUACCCCACAGACUACUCUAUUGCUUUCCAUGUAGCCCAAGCCUGAUCUUUGUUCCCACUCCACCACUAAGUGCAUCCUUGGCAAGUUACUUGACUUCAUUAAGCCUCAGUUUCCUUGUUGUAAGUGUUGCUUUGAGGAUCA
rnacentral:lncRNA from 1 species